rnacentral:rRNA from 1 species
UACAGAGGGUGCGAGCGUUGUCCGGAAUCACUGGGCGUAAAGGGCGCGUAGGUGGCGGCCCAAGUCCAUGGUGAAAGCUCGCCGCUUAACGGCGAGUCGGCCACGGAUACUGGGUUGCUCGAGCACUGUAGGGGCAGAUGGAAUUCCGGGUGUAGCGGUGGAAUGCGUAGAGAUCCGGAAGAACACCAGUGGCGAAGGCGGUCUGCUGGGCAGUAGCUGACACUGAUGCGCGACAGCGUGGGGAGCGAACAGG